rnacentral:lncRNA from 1 species
GCACUUUUAAUAAUUCAGUCUGAGAAGAUUUAACAUAAAAGGCGUGCGCUCUCGGUGUUUUCUUUCAUGACAUUUGUUUGUGGGCUGUCAUUCUCAAAAUUCUGAGGAAUAAUUUUGCCAAGAAUGUAUGACCUGGUAUGAGCAACUUUGGUGGUAGAAUGGCGUGGCAAUAUAACCCGCAUAUACCGCAUGUCACAUAGCAUGGCGUGGCAUAUAGCGUACAUAUACGUAAACAUAUAUGCGAAACGUCACGGCGACGCCGACGACAA